rnacentral:rRNA from 1 species
GAUGAACGCUAGCGGCAGGCCUAAUACAUGCAAGUCGAACGGUAAGUGUAGUAGCAAUAUUAUACGAGAGUGACGUACGGGUGCGUAACACGUAUGCAACCUACCCUUUACAGGAGGAUAGCUCGGGGAAACUCGAAUUAACCCUCCAUGAUAUAAUUGAAUGGCAUCAUUUAAUUAUUAAAACUCCGGUGGUAAAGGAUGGGCAUGCGUCUGAUUAGUUAGUUGGUGCGGGUAACGGCCCACCAAGACGAUGAUCAGUAGGGGAACUGAGAGGUUGAUCCCCCACACUGGCACUGAGAUACGGGCCAGACUCCUACGGGGGCUG